rnacentral:lncRNA from 1 species
UAGAUUUAAGAUUCGUAAUGUUUGAGUUGGAUUUAGGGAGGCUUGGUUUGGGAUUUAAGUAGAGAAGGGUAAGGAGAGUAUCUGGUGUGAUUUUUGGAAAUUUUUGAAGAGUUAGGGUUUUGGGCGGAAUCGUCGAUUCAAUAUUUGAAUCAUUUGUCUUAGAUUUGAAGAAAAUCAAGGCCAUGCAUGGACUGGGGAGAUGAAGACGCGGUUGCGGUGUUAAUUUGGUACCGUUUGGUGGUGGCGCCACCAUGGGUGACGGUGGCGGCAUCCACAAAUUUGAAUAUUUGAAGAGUUGGGCUGAUAUUCGAGGGAUGAUAUUUGGGGCGUUGGAAAGAGGAGAGGGAGAGGAUUCAGGAAUGUAAUUUUGGGGCUAAUUGGGGCUUCGCCGCCGGCGGAGGCGAUUUCUAGUCGGCAGCUUACGGCGGGGGGUGGCGGAGACAGGAAAGGGGUCUCUAAGGUUCAUUGGUGAGAGACA